AGCGAACGCUGGCGGCAGGCCUAACACAUGCAAGUCGAGCGGCCGUAGCAAUACGGCAGCGGCAGACGGGAGAGUAACACGUGGGAACGCGCCCUUCGGUUCGGAAUAACUCAGGGAAACUUGGGCUAAUACCGGAUACGCCCUUACGGGGAAAGAUUUAUUGCCGAAGGAACGGCCCGCGUCCGAUUAGCUAGUUGGUGAGGUAAUGGCUCACCAAGGCGACGAUCGGUAGCUGGUCUGAGAGGAUGACCAGCCUCACUGGGACUGAGACACGGCCCAGACUCCGACGGGAGGCAGCAGUGGGGAAUAUUGGACAAUGGGCGCAAGCCUGAUCCAGCCAUGCCGCGUGGGUGAUGAAGGCCCUAGGGUUGUAAAGCCCUUUCGGCGGGGAAGAUAAUGACGGUACCCGCAGAAGAAGCCCCGGCUAACUUCGUGCCAGCCGCCGCGGUAAAAC
rnacentral:rRNA from 1 species